AGUGAACCUGCAGAUGGAUCAUCGC
rnacentral:rRNA from 1 species